rnacentral:rRNA from 1 species
CGUAGGGUGCGAGCGUUAAUCGGAAUUACUGGGCGUAAAGCGUGCGCAGGCGGUUAUGUAAGACAGAUGUGAAAUCCCCGGGCUCAACCUGGGACCUGCAUUUGUGACUGCAUAGCUAGAGUACGGUAGAGGGGGAUGGAAUUCCGCGUGUAGCAGUGAAAUGCGUAGAUAUGCGGAGGAACACCGAUGGCGAAGGCAAUCCCCUGGACCUGUACUGACGCUCAUGCACGAAAGCGUGGGGAGCAAACAGGAUUAGAUACCCUGGUAGUCCACGCCCUAAACGAUGUCAACUGGUUGUUGGGUCUUCACUGACUCAGUAACGAAGCUAACGCGUGAAGUUGACCGCCUGGGGGAGUACGGCCGCAAGGUUG